rnacentral:rRNA from 1 species
UACGUAGGGUGCGAGCGUUGUCCGGAAUUAUUGGGCGUAAAGAGCUCGUAGGCGGUUUGUUGCGUCUAUCGUGAAAACCUGCAGCUUAACUGUGGGCUUGCGGUGGAUACGGGCAGACUUGAGUUCGGUAGGGGAGACUGGAAUUCCUGGUGUAGCGGUGAAAUGCGCAGAUAUCAGGAGGAACACCGGUGGCGAAGGCAGGUCUCUGGGCUGACACUGGCGCUCAUGCACGAAAGCGUGGGGAGCAAACAGG